rnacentral:rRNA from 1 species
UACGUAGGGGGCUAGCGUUGUCCGGAUUUCUUGGGCGUAAAGAGCGUGUAGGCGGCCCGGUAAGUCCGCUGUGAAAGUCGGGGGCUCAACCCUCGAAUGCCGGUGGAUACUGUCGGGCUAGAGUGCGGAAGAGGCGAGUGGAAUUCCUGGUGUAGCGGUGAAAUGCGCAGAUAUCAGGAGGAACACCAAUUGCGAAGGCAGCUCGCUGGGACGUAACUGACGCUGAGACGCGAAAGCGUGGGGAGCAAACAGG